AACGGGGCUUAGGCUCCGGCGCAAAGAGAGGCCCAAGUGAGAUUAGCUAGUUGGUAAGGUAACGGCUUACCAAGGCGACGAUCUCUAGCUGUUCUGAGAGGAAGAUCAGCCACACUGGGACUGAGACACGGCCCAGACUCCUACGGGAGGCAGCAGUGGGGAAUAUUGCACAAUGGGGGAAACCCUGAUGCAGCCAUGCCGCGUGUGUGAAGAAGGCCUUCGGGUUGUAAAGCACUUUCAGUUGUGAGGAAAAGUUAGUAGUUAAUACCUGCUAGCCGUGACGUUAACAACAGAAGAAGCACCGGCUAACUCCGUGCCAGCAGCCGCGGUAAUACGGAGGGUGCGAGCGUUAAUCGGAAUUACUGGGCGUAAAGCGCACGCAGGCGGUUUGUUAAGCUAGAUGUGAAAGCCCCGGGCUCAACCUGGGAUGGUCAUUUAGAACUGGCAGACUAGAGUCUUGGAGAGGGGAGUGGAAUUCCAGGUGUAGCGGUGAAAUGCGUAGAUAUCUGGAGGAACAUCAGUGGCGAAGGCGACUCCCUGGCCAAAGACUGACGCUCAUGUGCGAAAGUGUGGGUAGCGAACAGGAUUAGAUACCCUGGUAGUCCACACCGUAAACGCUGUCUACUAGCUGUGUGUGUCUUUAAGACGUGCGUAGCGAAGCUAACGCGCUAAGUAGACCGCCUGGGGAGUACGGCCGCAAGGUUAAA
rnacentral:rRNA from 1 species